AUGCUGGGCCACCUGGCUCUUCUCCUGGUUCUCCUGUUACCUGCUGACCAGUCAGACAUCAGAUUAGAGCAGCCGGCCUAUGUCCAUGGGCGAAGGCGCAGCUCAGUUGCCCUGCAGUGCCAGGUCCGAUCAACAGUCAGAUACAUCCACUGGUAUCGGCAUCAGGAAGGCAAAGCCCCUGAGAGGCUCCUCUAUCUUGACAUGUUCCAGUCAGAUAUACGUUGGGACUCAGGCUUGAAAGCAGAAAAAAUCACAGCCAUGGAGGCAAAGGACGGCCGCAGCUGCACCCUGUGGGUGCAGAAGCUGGAGAAGAGUGAUGAGGGUGUGUACUACUGUGCUGCCUGGCAUCUGCACAGUGCCACGUGCAGCCUCAGCCCAUGCACAAAAGGAACUGGCAUUCCCUACUCCAUCUAG